AUACGUAGGUGACAAGCGUUAUCCGGAUUUACUGGGCGUAAAGGGCGUGUAGGCGGUCUUGCAAGUCUGAUGUGAAAACUAUGGGCUCAACCCAUAAAUUGCUUUCAAAACUGCUGAUCUUGAGUGGUGUAGAGGUAGGCGGAAUUCCCGGUGUAGCGGUGGAAUGCGUAGAUAUCGGGAGGAACACCAGUGGCGAAGGCGGCCUACUGGGCACUAACUGACGCUGAGGCUCGAAAGCAUGGGUAGCAAACAGGAUUAGAUACCCUGGUAGUCCAUGCCGUAAACGAUGAUUACUAGGUGUGGGGGGAUUGACCCCCUCCGUGCCGCAGUUAACACAAUAAGUAAUCCACCUGGGGAGUACGACCGCAAGGUUGAAACUCAAAUGAAUUGACGGG
rnacentral:rRNA from 1 species